rnacentral:rRNA from 1 species
GACGAACGCUGGCGGCGUGCUUAACACAUGCAAGUCGAACGGAAAGGCCUCUUUCGGGGGGUACUCGAGUGGCGAACGGGUGAGUAACACGUGAGUAACCUGCCCUUGACUUUGGGAUAACUUCAGGAAACUGGGGCUAAUACCGGAUAGGAGCUCCUGCUGCAUGGUGGGGGUUGGAAAGUUUCGGCGGUUGGGGAUGGACUCGCGGCUUAUCAGCUUGUUGGUGGGGUAGUGGCUUACCAAGGCUUUGACGGGUAGCCGGCCUGAGAGGGUGACCGGCCACAUUGGGACUGAGAUACGGCCCAGACUCCUACGGGAGGCAGCAGUGGGGAAUAUUGCACAAUGGGUGGAAGCCUGAUGCAGCAACGCCGUGUGCGGGAUGACGGCCUUCGGGUUGUAACCCGCUUUCGCUCAUGACGAAGCUUUGUGUGACGGUAGUGGGUAAAGAAGCACCGGCUAACUACGU